CCAUGGCGAACUCUAUCGUGUUCGAAGAUGUGUCUGUACCUCCAAGUACCAUGUCCUGCUCAAAACCAGACAUACAUACAAGUUUACCAAAAUCCAAACGUGGCGCAAAGCGUUUGUCCCGUCCCGAGUUCGAACCCCAGGCUGGGAAGGGAACGCAUAAUUCAAAUCGCAUGGCUGGUUCCCGGCCCCGGGAUUAAUCUGGACUUCGGCCCAGAAAACCCGGUUACCAAAAAAAAAAAAAAAAAAGA